rnacentral:rRNA from 1 species
GACAGAGGUGGCAAGCGUUGUUCGGAUUCAUUGGGUGUAAAGGGUCCGUAGGUGGUCUAGCAAGUCUGAUGUGAAAUCCCAUGGCUUAACCGUGGAACUGCAUUGGAAACUGUUGGACUUGAGUACCGCAGAGGUAAAGGGAAUUCCCGGUGUAAGGGUGAAAUCUGUAGAUAUCGGGAGGAACACCUAUGGCGAAAGCAGGCUUCUGGGCCAUCUCUGACGCUGAGCUGCGAAAGCUAGGGGAGCAAACAGGG